ACGAACGCUGGCGGCGUGCUUAACACAUGCAAGUCGAACGGAAAGGCCCUGCUUGCAGGGUGCUCGAGUGGCGAACGGGUGAGUAACACGUGGGUGAUCUGCCCCUUACUUUGGGAUAAGCCUGGGAAACUGGGUCUAAUACUGGAUAGGACCAUGCUGUAGGUGGUGUGGUGGAAAGAUUAGUUUCGGUAAGGGAUGAGCUCGCGGCCUAUCAGCUUGUUGGUGGGGUAAUGGCCUACCAAGGCGUCGACGGGUAGCCGGCCUGAGAGGGUGGACGGCCACAUUGGGACUGAGAUACGGCACAGACUCCUACGGGAGGCAGCAGUGGGGAAUAUUGCACAAUGGGCGCAAGCCUGAUGCAGCGACGCCGCGUGGGGGAUGACGGCCUUCGGGUUGUAAACUCCUUUCAGCCAUGACGAAGCCCUUGUGGUGACGGUAGUGGUAGAAGAAGCACCGGCUAACUACGUG
rnacentral:rRNA from 1 species